rnacentral:lncRNA from 1 species
ACCACGGCCCCAUGCCCCAACCCCCUCGGACAUGACCCUAUCCACCCAUUACCACCAACAGCCACAACUACACGAAAGUAUAGGAAAAUAUACAGAUAUACACGGUGGUAGUAUCAAAGCAGCAGCAAGGAAAUACAAGGCUCACACAAAUUCAAAGGAAUACUCCCGAAACAAAACUAUACUCAAUUAGGGGGCAAACGAUACUCAAUUGGGUUAUUGGGUUAGGGCACCAAUAACCCAAUCCAAAGCAGUGGAAGAAAUGACCACAGCAACAACAGACAACAGACAAUGUCCA